GGUAUAGUGAGGCAUCAGAGAUCAGAUUUUAAGAGAUGUUGACCAAGGUUUUGAAGGCUUUACAAGAAGGGACUUCCAUCCAGAGUCUCAGCUGAAAACCUAACAUCGGUAGAAGUAAAGUUUUGCCUCCUCUACAGAGACAAAAGUGCAAUUUAGAGCUUGGUUACCCUCAGACCCAUUGACCACAUUAUGAGGAAGCUCAAGCAGCUUGUGGAGAGGCUAACAUGGAGAACAAUUAAGCUCUAUAGAGAGGUGAGCUCUCAGAAAGCAGCUAGCACCAUCUCACUGCCAUGUACAUGAGCCAUCUUGGAAGUAAAUCUCCAGUUCUCAGUUGAGCUGCCCAAUUGAUAUCAUGUAGAGCAAAAAUGAACAGUCCAAUAAACCCUACCAAAACAGCA
rnacentral:lncRNA from 1 species